CUGGCAGUCAUUCACUGUCCGAGUUGUAAAUUGAAGAGAUUGUCAUCCACACUGGACCAUGUCUAAAUUGUAAUGAUCCACAGUCCUUUGAUGGAGUAUCAGAGAGGGUAAUAAUCCCGUCUUUAACGUGGACUCCCAGUGUUUAUGUGAUGCAUUCUCUCAGAGUCGAGUAGUUUGGGAAUGCUGCUCUAAUGGGAGGUAAACUCCUUCUAAAGCUAAAUAUUGGCGAGAGACCGAUAGCGAACAAGUACCGUGAGGGAAAGAUGAAAAGAACUCUGAAAAGAGAGUCAAACAGAACGUGAAAUUGCUGAAAGGGAAGCGUUUGGAGUCAGAUGCGUCUUCAUGGAAUAACGGCUUCUGCAAAGAGGUCAGUGACUUGAAGAUGGGCCAGCACUCACGUAGACCAUUGGAAAAGGGGUCAUUGGAAUGUAGCUCACUUGUUGAGUGAUUAUAGCCUUGAUUCAUAUACAAUGUGUGUUAUGUGAGAUAGACAGCACGACUCACUCAGUCA
rnacentral:rRNA from 1 species